rnacentral:ncRNA from 25 species
UAGGAUGCCUGUUGCGCUGGUUAACCUAAUAGUUAGGUGAGGGAAUAUGGUGUAAAUCCAUAACUGACGCGCAGCGGUGAUAGAGAACAAACGCAACAGGGACGCUGUUCCAGACACUGUUUUGCUCUAAUUUAUAUUAGAAACAAGAUGGGAAGUCGUUGCCUAGGCGGUGAAUACCUUGCUCUUAAGUCCGAAUACCAACCAGUGAAUCACCCAACGCG